UUGUUUAAUCUUUCCUUUUACCACGAGAACUUGUAGCCCAUUCUUUCCUCUUUUCAUUUCUCCUUUAUUCGAAGGCGCGCUGCUUUCCUACAGAGACACUUGACCGCUACCAGCUAGCUAUUGAUAUAUACUAUAGUCCCGCCGGACACGCAAAUCAUUCGUGUGUACUCCGUACACGCGCACCACCAAUCAAGCCGGAGAGACAAACUAGCUAUCUAGAUGCCCC
rnacentral:lncRNA from 1 species